rfam:Gammaproteobacteria bacterium RIFCSPLOWO2_12_47_11 rifcsplowo2_12_sub10_scaffold_5128, whole genome shotgun sequence.
UGGGGGAUCGUCUAACGGUAGGACAGCGGACUCUGACUCCGCCAGUCUAGGUUCAAAUCCUAGUCCCCCAG